AAAUAUUCAACGACCAAGUGGACUCAACUUGUUUACAUUCAAUGUCCAUAUUCAUGGAAUCACAGUUUCCAGGAAAAAUGAAAAAGACAAAAACGGAAAGAGCCAUAUUCAUCUUCUGGAUUGCGCAAUAAUAUGUUUCAUUAUUACAUUGGAAUUUCAUUUUCACCAAUUAGCCAAAAAAAAAUCGCCAAAUCAACGGACGCGAAAUCGCCUACUUUCCACACAAUCAACGGCCAAGAUUGGCGUAAAUUCCGAAGACGAAACUUCAGAGAGUACUCGGUUUCACUGUUUCAGAGCCAUCUCUCCCUGCCUCUUUCCGGACAACAAACGCACGUGAUCACCGACCCCAGGUGCAGUACACGCGCUUAAUCUGACACGCCAGCCGGCAAGGAGCAGCUCGCCAGCUCGUGCCUUGUGGGAUUCUAAAAUUUGUUGCUGUCGUUUGAUCUUAUUUUGUCUGCGUUUUAAAAAAGGGUGACCCGCACGAGAAGUAGGCGGUGGUCCAUAGUCGAACCUAUUUCAGCGGCCCGCCCGCGACGCUAUGCUAAUAUUGGAAAUUGCUGCCUUUGAGGCAGCGAUGCCCAUGUUUUCUUUAAGUAGUCAGAGACAGAAAGUGAGCAAUAAGGCUGCCCCUUCUUGUGUACUUAUUUUCAAUAAUAUUAUCAUAUCAUACUAAUCUAAUUUCAAUAUUAUUAGGCUUGUUUCUAAAUUUUAAUAAUAUUUUUGAGACAUCAUUUCUUCUUAUAUAUAAAUUUUUUUUCCUGAAUUAAAUUGUACACUAUGGACAUGUAUUGCAGCAUGUAUUAAGAGG
rnacentral:lncRNA from 1 species